rnacentral:rRNA from 1 species
AUUGAACGCUGGCGGAAUGCUUUACACAUGCAAGUCGAACGGCAGCACGGACUUCGGUCUGGUGGCGAGUGGCGAACGGGUGAGUAAUGUAUCGGAACGUGCCCAGUCGUGGGGGAUAACGUAGUGAAAAUUACGCUAAUACCGCAUACGAUCUAUGGAUGAAAGCGGGGGAUCGCAAGACCUCGCGCGAUUGGAGCGGCCAAGAUCAGAUUAGGUAGUUGGUGGGUAAAGGCCCACCAAGCCAACGAUCGGGAGCUGGUCUGAGAGGACGACCAGCCACACUGGAACUGAGACACGGUCCAGACUCCUACGGGAGGAAGCAGUGGGGAAUUUUGGACAAUGGGCGAAAGCCUGAUCCAGCCAUUCCGCGUGCAGGAUGAAGGCCCUCGGGUUGUAGACUGCUUUUGUACAGAACGAAAAGGUUUCUACUAAUACUAGGAGCUCAUGACGGUACUGUAAGAAUAAGCACCGGCUAACUACGUGCCAGCAGCCGCAGUAA